GAGACAGCAGCAGCCGCGGUAAUACGAAGGGUGCAAGCGUUACUCGGAAUUACUGGGCGUAAAGCGUGCGUAGGUGGUGGUUUAAGUCCGUUGUGAAAGCCCUGGGCUCAACCUGGGAAUUGCAGUGGAUACUGGGUCACUAGAGUGUGGUAGAGGAUAGUGGAAUUUCCGGUGUAGCAGUGAAAUGCGUAGAGAUCGGAAGGAACAUCUGUGGCGAAGGCGACUAUCUGGGCCAACACUGACACUGAGGCACGAAAGCGUGGGGAGCAAACAGGAUUAGAUACCCCGGUAGUCCCUGUCUCUUAUAC
rnacentral:rRNA from 1 species